GCAAAGACAAAUAAAAAGAUAAUGGACGGAAACGAGUGAAAUUGAAUAUUUCCUUAAUACGCAAGACAAACAACGCAUUUCUUCCGAAAAAUACACAUUUCGUACAUCAAAAAGAUGGCUUGGCGCAAUGGCAGCAUAAUAAUUAAGGAGUAACGCAACUAGUCACGCAGCGAAAAGAAGCCUUACCACGUUGACAUCCGAGUAGAACAUCAAGGUCUUAAAGCUCGCGAAGUACGCGAACAGGAUUAUGGGAUGGAGCAGGUAAGACGCCAUGCUCGUUCAAAAAUCCACGAGUGCCUCUUCCCAGAUGUAACCUGUGCAGCGGAAGUGAGCCAACCGGAAGUGAAUAUGCAAACACUACUUUACUCUUUACCUGAGGAAGAAGAAGGAGUCAACGGAGACGGUCGCGUUGAUUAGGGCCUGGAACGUAAACCUCUGCAAGAUGUCUAACUUCAGCGCAAUGUUAGCUGAGGAGAUAAAGCCAGAUGCAAAGUUAGAUCGGAGAUAAAAUAUCGGAUAUCGGAGAUAAAAUAUAUGUAGGGAAUAUUUUUGACGUACAUAUUAUUUUGAUGAGUUUGGUAUUGAUUUUAGGAAACCUAGCGUUUACAAAAAUAUAACUUCAGUUUAUAAUGCUUUUCCCUUGCUUAAAAACAUUUUAAUUAAUGUAUCUAAUGUGUAAAUAUCCUGUCCCAAACUACGACGUGACAUUUAAAGUUCGAUGGUAUAUCGAGGACUUGGAGGUUUAAAGUAUAAACUCGCUUCACUUAGUCUGUUAUUGUAGAAAAGAGUCUGUUUUUGAAUACAAAGUUUUUGUAUUUUCAGUGAAAGCAUGUAGCUUGCUGUUAAUCUUCA